ensembl:lncRNA
CAGCAGUUGUCACGGUGUGCAUAGCAUAGCGGCCAGCUGUUGUGUGUGUAAAGCUGUAUGUCGGCUGUCUCUCCUAGGAGGCCGAUGUAUGGACCUGCUUAUUAUUGCCUUGUUUUGUAUAUCACUGAGGUGUACUAUGCUAUAUAAAUGGACUAUUUUUUAUGAUCUCUACAUGCUGGUUUGAAAUUCAGAGAAAAUGGAUCAAGGAAAUAUAUAUAUUUUUUUCUUCUAAAACUUAUUAAAUUCUUAUUACAAAUAAUCAUUUUUGUCUUUGCAGGAAAAAGUUCUCAGUGACUAUUUUGUGGUGUUUCUUUUUAAAAAGAAAAGCUGAAAGAUUAGUAAAUGCUAGUAUAUUUCUGCUCGUUAUAAAUGGUAAAAGAAUAUAUGCAAAAUACUUAUACUUUCAUAAAUAUAAAGAUGUAUUAUAAGGAGUCAGUUGUACCGCUUAUAAGGAAAAAUGUUGUAUAACUGAGCAAUAUAAAAUAUCACAAGAAUUGUCAUGGUUCACAGUGCACUAAUCUGAAAUUUCUCACAUAAAAUAGAAUGUCUUAAGUUUAUUUUUAGUUGCUUGUUACAACUUAUUCAUGAAACAGUACAGAUACAUAAUGCUUUCCCUGAAAUACAUUACUUCAGUGUUAGCGGUUAGUCUGUUGUGGAAUUUUCAGUGUUUUCUCAGCUGUAAACGAAAGACUAACUCAGGUUGUCUCUGCAAAGGCUGUGAGACAGGUCGGGGUGAGCAGAUAGGACAUGAUGUGGGAAGCCGCCACCGGCGCAGGCGUGUUGGUGUGACGCGCACGGGGCGGGGCUGGUGCACGUGUGAUGCGCACAGGGCGGGGCCUGACUGCCCAAGUGCCUGUGGACGCUGCCUCUGCUCUGCCUCUCCUGCCCUCGGGGCUCAGCUCUGGCCCGUCACACUCUGACCCCGGGGGGUGGUGGAGCCCGGAGCCUCGCAGCACGUUUCACGCAGCCGUGCAGACCCGGUGCCCUUGCAGCUUCCUGGGCCGUAACGCUUCUCCGAAGCCCCAGCGGAGACCACCUCCUCCGUCAGCGCAGGAGGCGUUGCAGACCUGACGACCGCACAGGAAACACCUAACUCUGGUGUUUUAGCAGCAGGAGAAAAACCGGUCAUUACUAAAUCCAGUGGCCUGCCGGUGGUUUUAGAUUUAUUGGAGACUUUUUAAAAAUUGGGUUUGUUGUGGGAAUUCACUGGCGGUCCAGUGCUAAGAGCUGGAUGUUUCACUACCAGGGACCUGGAUCUAACCCCUGGUCAGGAACUGAGAUCCCACAAGCCGUGAGGUGCCUGCUGCUCCCCCCAAAAAUCAGGGUUUUUGAAGNNNNNNNNNNNNNNNNNNNNNNNNNNNNNNNNNNNNNNNNNNNNNNNNNNNNNNNNNNNNNNNNNNNNNNNNNNNNNNNNNNNNNNNNNNNNNNNNNNNCAAAAAUCAGGGUUUUUGAAGGGCUUCUGGCGUAAUUUCUGAAAGAAGGGGAACACUCAUGGAAAUUCAGCACACCCGUGGUUUCUGCCGCAGCCCGGUAUUUGGGUCUUGCAGCCUGCACUCCACCUGCUCAGCAUGCUCCGGUACAUGUUCUACAGGGAGCACUGAAGCAAUUGGGCAAAAUAAAUGCCACCAAAGGGGCAAAACCCAAACAAAGCCAGUUAGCUGCACGAUGCCCACCCUUUGUGUAGCCGGUGGGGCCUGCACAGACCCAGCAGCCAGCACCAUUCUCUGUAAAGGGAAGAGAUGACUCCAAGGCUGGGACUCUGCCUUUGUGGCCAACGGGCCUUCAGAGGAGACCUCUUGUGCCCAGUGGGGCAGCUGAGACUCGGCUUUAGGCCAGACCCUGGGCUCCGUGAUCCUGGCGAUGGACAGUCAGUUCUCAGAACCUUCGUCACCAGUUCUGACUAACUGCUUCAUCUGGGAAAAGGGAACUUCAACUUUUCUACCUUGACCCAAACCAAUGGAAGGAAAAUUAAUGUUGGUUAAUUUGAAUUGUUACUUUAUUGCUUAUCCUGUGCCUUAAAGUAUGAAGCGUGAGGCAUUGCUUCAGGUUAAAACAAAACACGCCUCGCAGCCGAGUUCACAGCCGAGCUCACCACAGUUUAUUCCUCGUCAAGGGUCAGCCCUCCUUUGUCAGGAACUGAAGCCAAAUGCAAAUAGUGGUUGUUUGUACGCGGUUGUUGCUUUAACGCCAUUCUAGCUGGACCACCCCCUGCAGAUGGAACACAGCAGAGGGGUUUUUUUGUUUUUUUUUUUAUUGUAAAAUGCCCUUUUUGCUCAACUAAUUUUACAUGACAGUGCAUGUAUUUAUUCAAUAAAACUUUUUGUGUUAUCUUGCUUGUGAUUUAUUCUUCCUUUGUCUUUUGAAGUAAAAUUUUUAGUGUGGAACCAGGCAGUUUGAAGUGUGUGUAGUAUAGUGCUUGUAUAUGUUAUUUGUGAAUUCUUUUGUUUUCAAAACUGUAUCAGCUCACUGAUAUUACUCCUUAGUUUCCAUCAUAACUUGACUCCUCUGCCUCUCUCAGACUCUGAGUUUUGAAAACAGCUCUUCAGAAAGAUAAUCAUGAGUAGAAACAACAAGUCUUUAAAGCCAGAGCUCUGCGAAGUUGUUAAGAGAGUCUGCUCUGAACAGAAGGAGGGAAACCCCCGGAGGCAGUGUCACUGAGUACAGGCUCGCCUGCUCGCCUGGAGGGGCCGGGAAACCCGGGAGAUGGCGCGCUGAGGCAAGGGAUGCAGAGAGCUGGCGGACCUAGAGGAUGGCAGGCUAAUGUCUGAAAAUAAUCACCUGGACCAGGCCUGGAUGCCAGGUUCUUUUAUGUGUCAGGCAUGGUGGGAGGCGAGAAAACAAAAUAAAACGACUGUUUAAUUUUUGCGAAUGGCUCCUAGAGUGGCAAGCCUCGGGCGAGGGGAUGUGUUAGAUUCAUCUUCUUACAGCCGUUUCACACGUGGUGUGAAAAAGAAUAUUUUCUGCCGUAUCAAUAAACAAGGAUGAGCUAACAAGGGUUAGCAGUCUGUCAUUUCCGACCCCAAAUGUGAACUUUGAGCAGGUACCACUCCCCACGCAAG